rnacentral:rRNA from 1 species
UACGGAGGGUGUGAGCGUUGUCCGGAAUCACUGGGCGUAAAGGGCGCGUAGGCGGCCCGGUAAGUAGGGGGUGAAAUCUUGCGGCUCAACCGCAAGGCUGCCUUCUAAACUGCCAGGCUCGAGCACAGUAGAGGCAGGUGGAAUUCCCGGUGUAGCGGUGGAAUGCGUAGAGAUCGGGAGGAACACCGAUGGCGAAGGCAGCUCGCUGGGACGGUACUGACGCUGAGGCGCGAAAGCGUGGGGAGCGAACAGG